rnacentral:rRNA from 1 species
CCUACGGGAGGCUGCAGUGAGGAAUAUUGGUCAAUGGACGCGAGUCUGAACCAGCCAUGCCGCGUGCAGGAAGACGGCCCUAUGAGUUGUAAACUGCUUUUGUACGAGGGUAAAAGCCGAGACGCGUAUCUGUCUGAAAGUAUCGUACGAAUAAGGAUCGGCUAACUCCGUGCCAGCAGCCGCGGUAAUACGGAGGAUUCAAGCGUUAUCCGGAUUUAUUGGGUUUAAAGGGUGCGUAGGCGGUCGGAUAAGUUAGCGGUGAAAUUCCGAGGCUCAACUUCGGAAUUGCAUCUGGUACUGUUCGGCUAGAGAGUAGUUGCGGUAGGCGGAAUGUAUGGUGUAGCGGUGAAAUGCUUAGAGAUCAUACAGAACACCGAUUGCGAAGGCAGCUUACCAAGCUACUUCUGACGUUGAGGCACGAAAGCGUGGGGAGCAAACAGGAUUAGAUACCCUGGUAGUC